UACGAAGGGGGCUAGCGUUGUUCGGAAUUACUGGGCGUAAAGCGCGCGUAGGCGGUGAUCUUUGUCAGAGGUGAAAGCCCGGGGCUCAACUCCGGAAUUGCCUUUGAAACGGGAUCGCUAGAGUCCGAGAGAGGAUGGCGGAAUUCCCAGUGUAGAGGUGAAAUUCGUAGAUAUUGGGAAGAACACCGAUGGCGAAGGCAGCCAUCUGGACCGACACUGACGCUGAGGCGCGAAAGCGUGGGGAGCAAACAGG
rnacentral:rRNA from 1 species